rnacentral:lncRNA from 1 species
GCCCGCAGUCUCCUGUACACGGUUUGUCGACUUAUCACGUGUCCCAGUGCCGU